rnacentral:rRNA from 1 species
UACGGAGGGUGCGAGCGUUGUCCGGAAUCAUUGGGCGUAAAGGGCGCGUAGGUGGCCCGGUCAAUUCGUGGUGAAAGCGCGGGGCUCAACCCUGCGUCGGCCAUGAAUACUGCCGCGGCUGGAGCACUGUAGAGGCAGGCGGAAUUCCUGGUGUAGCGGUGGAAUGCGUAGAGAUCCGGAAGAACACCGGUGGCGAAGGCGGCCUGCUGGGCAGUUGCUGACACUGAGGCGCGACAGCGUGGGGAGCAAACAGG